rnacentral:rRNA from 1 species
GAUGAACGCUGGCGGCGUGCCUAAUACAUGCAAGUCGAGCGAACAGAUGAGGAGCUUGCUCCUCUGACGUUAGCGGCGGACGGGUGAGUAACACGUGGAUAACCUACCUAUAAGACUGGGAUAACUUCGGGAAACCGGAGCUAAUACCGGAUAAUAUAUUGAACCGCAUGGUUCAAUAGUGAAAGACGGUUUUGCUGUCACUUAUAGAUGGAUCCGCGCCGCAUUAGCUAGUUGGUAAGGUAACGGCUUACCAAGGCAACGAUGCGUAGCCGACCUGAGAGGGUGAUCGGCCACACUGGAACUGAGACACGGUCCAGACUCCCACGGGAGGCAGCAGUAGGGAAUCUUCCGCAAUGGGCGAAAGCCUGACGGAGCAACGCCGCGUGAGUGAUGAAGGUCUUCGGAUCGUAAAACUCUGUUAUUGGGGAAGAACAAAUGUGUAAGUAACUAUGCACGUCUUGACGGUACCUAAUCAGAAAGCCACGGCUAACUACGUG